GCUUCAGUGGCCUAGUGGUUAGAGAAUCCACCUUGAAUGUGGAAGGUCACAUGUUCAAAGCCUGGCUGAAUCA